CCUGGGGAACGCUGUUGGGGCGGGCGCGGGCCGGAGGGGCGGAGUGAGCAGGCUCCACGCGCGUAAAGGGGCUGCCUGGUGCCGGGUCUGGUCGAUUUGCGGUCACACGCUGCCUCGCCCUCCGGACUGGGUUCUGCGCCUCCUCCGCUGGCCGCCGUCACCCGGGAAACCAGUCGCGACCUCCAGCAGAUCCGAAGCUGGUUUCAUGGCAGCCGCGAAGAAAGCAGUUUUGGGGCCGUUGGUUGGGGCAGUGGACCAGGGCACCAGCUCGACGCGCUUUUUGGUUUUCAAUUCAAAAACAGCUGAACUACUUAGUCAUCAUCAAGUGGAAAUAAAACAAGAGUUUCCAAGAGAAGGAUGGGUGGAACAAGACCCUAAGGAAAUUCUGAUGUCUGUCUAUGAGUGUAUAGAGAAAACAUGUGAGAAACUUGAACAACUCAAUAUUGACAUUUCCAACAUAAAAGCUAUUGGUGUCAGUAACCAGAGGGAAACCACUGUAGUCUGGGACAAGAUAACUGGAGAGCCUCUCUACAAUGCUGUAGCCGCUCCAGUUUCUCCUGGCCCUUCAGAUCCAGUUGCCGUUGUUCCCUCUGGCUCUUCAGUUCCAGCUGCUGGCCCUUCCUCAGUGUGGCUUGAUCUAAGAACCCAGUCUACCGUUGAGAAUCUUAGUAAAAGAAUUCCAGGAAAUAACUUUCUCAAGUCCAAGACAGGCCUUCCACUUAGCACUUACUUCAGUGCUGUGAAAGUUCGUUGGCUUCUCGACAAUGUGAAAGAAGUUCAAAGGGCUGUUGAAGAAGAUAGAGCUCUUUUUGGGACUAUUGAUUCAUGGCUCAUUUGGUGUCUGACAGGAGGAACCAAUGGAGGCGUCCACUGUACAGAUGUAACAAAUGCAAGUAGGACAAUGCUUUUCAACAUUCAUUCUUUGGAAUGGGAUAAAGAGCUCUGCGAAUUUUUUGAAAUUCCAAUGAAAAUUCUUCCAAAUGUCCGGAGUUCUUCUGAAAUCUAUGGCUUAAUGAAAAUCUCUCAUAGCCUGAAAGCUGGGGCCUUGGAAGGUGUGCCAAUAUCUGGGUGUUUGGGGGACCAGUCUGCUGCAUUGGUGGGACAAAUGUGUUUCCGAGAUGGCCAAGCCAAAAAUACGUAUGGAACAGGCUGCUUCUUACUAUGUAAUACAGGCCGUAAGUGUGUAUUUUCUGAACAUGGCCUUCUGACCACAGUGGCUUACAAACUCGGUAGAGAUAAACCUGUAUAUUAUGCACUGGAAGGUUCUGUAGCUAUAGCCGGUGCUGUCAUUCGCUGGCUAAGAGACAAUCUUGGAAUUAUAAACAGCUCAGACGAAAUUGAAAAACUUGCUAAAGAAGUAGGUACUUCUUAUGGCUGCUAUUUCGUCCCAGCGUUUUCAGGGUUAUAUGCACCUUACUGGGAGCCCAGUGCAAGAGGGAUCAUCUGUGGGCUCACUCAGUUCACCAAUAAAUGCCAUAUUGCUUUUGCUGCAUUAGAAGCUGUUUGUUUCCAAACCCGAGAGAUUCUGGAUGCCAUGAACCGUGACUGUGGAAUUCCACUCAGUCAUCUGCAGGUAGAUGGAGGAAUGACCAACAAUAAAAUUCUUAUGCAGCUACAAGCAGACAUUCUGUAUAUCCCAGUAGUGAAGCCUUCCAUGCCAGAAACCACUGCCCUGGGAGCCGCCAUGGCAGCAGGGGCUGCAGAAGGAGUUGGUGUUUGGAGUCUGGAACCUGAGGAUCUGUCAGCUGUCACAGUGGAGCGGUUUGAACCCCAGAUCAAUGCUGAGGAAAGCGAAAUUCGUUUUUCUACCUGGAAGAAAGCUGUGAUGAAGUCAAUGGGCUGGGUUACAGCUGAGUCUUCGGAAAGCGAAGCAUAUACUUUGCUGAAGAAGAGUUUAUAAGUGAAAUAUAACCUGCCUUCCAAACCAAAGUGACCCUAGUAUCUUCUGUAGUCUACCCCUGGGCUUUUUUAUAAUGAGUAGCAUGAUAAUGUUUAUCGGAGCAAGGUACAUCUCAGGUAUCCUAUAAAUAAUAGAACUCAUGGAUUCCAAUGGUGCGAGCUCUUUACCUAACAGACUCCAGCGAUUCUCUUACUCUGAUGACACUAUUCAUAGACUCUGAUUUUAUUUAUAAGCCAUUUGCUGCAUGACCCUCGAAGUUGACCUGUGGCUCGAAAUAAAGAAAAUGCAGCAGAAAGAAUGCUAUAGAAACAUGGGUGUGUUUUUUAACAUCAAUCAUAAGAUUGGACCAGCCAUCUUUGGAGCUGACCCCUCCUUUGCCAUCACUUCCUGCCCCAUUUCCUCUAAGAUGUAGGAAGAAUCCAGAUCCUGUCCAUUGGCAGCUUUCCUCAAGCACAGUCAGAUGCUGGUGGGCCAGGAUUUGAUUCUCUGCACUACACACACUUGAUCAAGGGGUUAUUGCUAACUGACUAAAAAUGAGCAACUUUGUGUUUCUUUUUAGCAGAACCCCGAAGUUCUCUUUUCUGCAUAUGCAGGAAGCCCACAGAAUCUUCACUGAUUGUUUAAGUGGAAUUCUCUACUAAAUCCUUAAAAUGAAAAUUUAGUAUUCUCGUAGCUUAGCUAUUUUUCUGAAAAGUAUUUGCCAAAAUCAAAAUUCUUCAGCCAUUUUACAUGGUAUCACUAAUUAUACUGCAUUGCUGUCUGGAUCUUAUAGGGAAGGACACUUUUUUUCUUUUUUUUCCCCAUCUCUCCUUUUUAUAUUUUUUACUUUAUAUGUAUAACAUACAUGCCUAUAUAUUUUAUAUACUGAGGGUAGCCCAUUUAUAAACUAAGAGUACAUUUUACAUGGCCUCACUAAUUACACUGAAUUUGUGUCCGGAUCUUGUAGAAAAGAACACUUUUUUUCUUUUUAUAUUUCUUACUUUGUAUGUAGUACAUACAUGCCUAUAUAUUUUAUAUACUAAAGGUAUCCCAUUUAUAAAUUAAAAGCACAUUGUAUUCAGUAGGUUAUAAUGGGGCUGGUCUUAAGUGGACCACUAUGUGUAUAAAUAUUUUGGGGAAAACAGCUGUAUAUGUUUUGGGGCAGCAGUUAUACAUAUUAUUUACCAGGAGAAACUUUUUCUUAAAGAGCCAACAUUUGAAAUUUAAAGUAUGUGUUCUAUGUCAAUAAAAGAAAAUAGACUUUAUUGUGACUUCAACUAUGUUUCUUAUACCUUACAUUUUUAUUUAAAAUUUUUAGCCGGAUAUAUGCUAAAGAGAGAAAACUGUGGAAUGCUAUAGUAAAUACUGUUUUCAAACACAAGUACUAGUCCAUAUGAAGUUAUUUUCAUUUAACAUAAUCUUAAACAUAUUUGGGAUCCUUUUGAGGGGAUGUCAAAAAAGGUUAAAAAUUUAAGUUAAAAAACACACACCGUUAGAAAUAAAGCCAAGAUCACUUUCCACCCAAAUAUGUUAUUAAUUGCUGAUAAGCAAUUAUAAUUUCUAUUUGGGAUGACAAUUACCUCUGCUUACUGUCAAAACUUUAAAAGGUUUACUAUUAGAAAUGGCUUCCAAUGAAACCAAGAAUUUCUCAAAAUAUUUAGUAUUGCGUGUGCCUAAUGUAGCUUCUUAAUGUCAAUUUUAAAAACAUCCUAAAAUUAAUUGCUGUUUACUGCAAGUAAGAAUAUACUGCCUCCUAAUUAUUUUAUUCAAUCAGUGCUGAAAAUGGAAAAAUAUUUAUAUGUUAAUAUGAAAAGUUUUGUUUGGAAUCAAUGCUAACUUGAAUUUGCAGUGCUCGUUGUGCUGUUUCUAAAUUGUUGAAUCUGCUGGGUUUUUAUUGAUGCUGCUGCCACUUUCGUGACAUAAAUAUUAAAGAAAGGUACUGUGAAAUUACUACUUUGUGGCAGGGUACUUUUAAACAUACUGAUGUUUCUACAAAGGUAGUUUCAGUUCAUUGUAAAUAAUUGUGAAAAUCACUGUUCAGAUAACAUUAAGAUUACAUUAAUUUUCUAUAAAUGGCAAUAUUUGUAAAUGUUUGAAAUUGUACACAUUGAUAUUUCAUGAUAAAUGUGCUUAAAAUAAAUUGACCCCUCAUUCUUA